rnacentral:rRNA from 1 species
UAAGGAAUAUUGGUCAAUGGACGCAAGUCUGAACCAGCCAUGCCGCGUGAAGGAUGAAGGUCCUCUGGAUUGUAAACUUCUUUUAUCUGGGACGAAAACGGGAUUUUUAUCUCAAUUGACGGUACCAGAGGAAUAAGCACCGGCUAACUCCGUGCCAGCAGCCGCGGUAAUACGGAGGGUGCGAGCGUUAUCCGGAUUUACUGGGUUUAAAGGGUGCGUAGGUGGGCUUAUAAGUCAGUGGUGAAAUCUCCGAGCUUAACUUGGAAACUGCCGUUGAUACUAUAGGUCUUGAAUUAUCUGGAGGUAAGCGGAAUAUGUCAUGUAGCGGUGAAAUGCUUAGAUAUGACAUAGAACACCAAUUGCGAAGGCAGCUUACUACACAAUCAUUGACGCUGAGGCACGAAAGCGUGGGGAUCAAACA